rnacentral:rRNA from 1 species
ACGAGUGGCGAACGGGUGAGUAAUAUAUCGGAACGUACCAUUCAGUGGGGGAUAACGUAGCGAAAGUUACGCUAAUACCGCAUAUUCUGUGAGCAGGAAAGCAGGGGAUCGCAAGACCUUGCGCUGAUUGAGCGGCCGAUAUCAGAUUAGCUUGUUGGUGAGGUAAAAGCUCACCAAGGCGACGAUCUGUAGCGGGUCUGAGAGGAUGAUCCGCCACACUGGAACUGAGACACGGUCCAGACUCCUACGGGAGGCAGCAGUGGGGAAUUUUGGACAAUGGGGGCAACCCUGAUCCAGCCAUGCCGCGUGAGUGAAGAAGGCCUUCGGGUUGUAAAGCUCUUUCAGCCGGGAAGAAAACGCAUGGGUUAAUACCCUGUGUGGAUGACGGUACCGGAAUAAGAAGCACCGGCUAACUACGUGCCAGCAGCCGCGGUAAUACGUAGGGUGCGAGCGUUAAUCGGAAUUACUGGGCGUAAAGCGUGCGCAGGCGGUUUUGUAAGACAGGCGUGAAAUCCCCGGGCUUAACCUGGGAACUGCGUUUGUGACUGCAAGGCUAGAGUACGGCAGAGGGGGGUGGAAUUCCACGUGUAGCAGUGAAAUGCGUAGAGAUGUGGAGGAACACCAAUGGCGAAGGCAGCCCCCUGGGUCGAUACUGACGCUCAUGCACGAAAGCGUAGGUAGCAAACAGGAUUAGAUACCCUGGUAGUCCACGCCCUAAACGAUGUCAACUAGGUGUUGGGAGGGUAAAACCUUUUAGUACCGGAGCUAACGCGUGAAGUUGACCGCCUGGGGAGUACGGCCGCAAGGUUAAAACUCAAAGGAAUUGACGGGGACCCGCACAAGCGGUGGAUGAUGUGGAUUAAUUCGAUGCAACGCGAAAAACCUUACCUACCCUUGACAUGCCAAGAACUUUCCAGAGAUGGAUUGGUGCCCGAAAGGGAACUUGGACACAGGUGCUGCAUGGCUGUCGUCAGCUCGUGUCGUGAGAUGUUGGGUAAGUCCCGCAACGAGCGCAACCCUUGUCGUUAAUUGCCAUCAUUUGGUUGGGCACUUUAACGAGACUGCCGGUGACAAACCGGGGGAAGGUGGGGAUGACGUCAAGUCCUCAUGGCCCUUAUGGGUAGGGCUUCACACGUCAUACAAUGGUCGGUACAAAGGGUCGCCAAGCCGCGAGGUGGAGCCAAUCCCAGAAAGCCGAUCGUAGUCCGGAUCGCAGUCUGCAACUCGACUGCGUGAAGUCGGAAUCGCUAGUAAUCGUGGAUCAGAAUGUCACGGUAAAUACGUUCCCGGGUCUUGUACACACCGCCCGUCACACCAUGGGAGCGGGUUCCGCCAGAGGUAGGUAGCCUAACCGCAAGGAGGGCGCUUACCACGGCGGGGUUCGUGACUGGGGUGAAGUCGUAACAAGGUA